rnacentral:rRNA from 1 species
GAACCGACUAAUGUUGAAAAAUUAGCGGAUGACUUGUGGCUAGGGGUGAAAGGCCAAUCAAACCUGGAGAUAGCUGGUUCUCCCCGAAAGCUAUUUAGGUAGCGCCUCGGACGAAUACUACUGGGGGUAGAGCACUGUUAAGGCUAAGGGGGGGGUCAUCCCGACUUACCAACCUUUGCAAACUCCGAAUACCAGUAAGUACUAUCCGGGAGACACACGGCGGGUGCUAACGUCCGUCGUGGAGAGGGAAACAACCCAGACCGCCAGCUAAGGUCCCAAAUUAUAGCUAAGUGGGAAACGAUGUGGGAAGGCUUAGACAGCUAGGAUGUUGGCUUAGAAGCAGCCAUCAUUUAAAGAAAGCGUAAUAGCUCACUAGUCGAGUCGGCCUGCGCGGAAGAUGUAACGGGGCUAAGCUAUAAACCGAAGCUGCGGCAAUGAAGUUUACUUCAUUGGGUAGGGGAGCGUUCUGUAAGCCGUUGAAGGUGAGUUGUAAAGCUUGCUGGAGGUAUCAGAAGUGCGAAUGCUGACAUGAGUAACGAUAAAGGGGGUGAAAAACCUCCUCGCCGGAAGACCAAGGGUUCCUGUCCAACGUUAAUCGGGGCAGGGUAAGUCGACCCCUAAGGCGAGGCCGAAAGGCGUAGUCGAUGGGAAACGGGUUAAUAUUCCCGUACUUCUUACAAUUGCGAUGGGGGGGGACGGAGAAGGCUAGGUGGGCCUGGCGACGGUUGUCCAGGUUCAAGUGUGUAGGCUGAAGAGUUAGGUAAAUCCGGCUCUUCUUAAGGCUGAGACACGACGUCGAGCUACUACGGUAGUGAAGUCAUUGAUGCCAUGCUUCCAGGAAAAGCCUCUAAGCUUCAGAUUGUAAGGAAUCGUACCCCAAACCGACACAGGUGGUCGGGUAGAGAAUACCAAGGCGCUUGAGAGAACUCGGGUGAAGGAACUAGGCAAAAUGGUACCGUAACUUCGGGAGAAGGUACGCUCUCGACGGUGAAGUCCCUCGCGGAUGGAGCUAUUGAGAGUCGCAGAUACCAGGUGGCUGCAACUGUUUAUUAAAAACACAGCACUGUGCAAAAUCGUAAGAUGACGUAUACGGUGUGACGCCUGCCCGGUGCCGGAAGGUUAAUUGAUGGGGUUAGACUUCGGUCGAAGCUCUUGAUCGAAGCCCCGGUAAACGGCGGCCGUAACUAUAACGGUCCUAAGGUAGCGAAAUUCCUUGUCGGGUAAGUUCCGACCUGCACGAAUGGCGUAAUGAUGGCCACGCUGUCUCCACCCGAGACUCAGUGAAAUUGAAAUCGCUGUGAAGAUGCAGUGUACCCGCGGCUAGACGGAAAGACCCCGUGAACCUUUACUACAGCUUGGCACUGAACAUUGACCCUACAUGUGUAGGAUAGGUGGGAGGCUUUGAAACCAGCACGCCAGUGUUGGUGGAGCCGUCCUUGAAAUACCACCCUUGUAGUGUUGAUGUUCUAACGUCGACCCCUUAUCGGGGUUACGGACAGUGCCUGGUGGGUAGUUUGACUGGGGCGGUCUCCUCCCAAAGCGUAACGGAGGAGCACGAAGGUGGGCUAAUCACGGUUGGACAUCGUGAGGUUAGUGCAAUGGCAUAAGCCCGCUUGACUGCGAGAAUGACAAUUCGAGCAGGUGCGAAAGCAGGUCAUAGUGAUCCGGUGGUUCUGAAUGGAAGGGCCAUCGCUCAACGGAUAAAAGGUACUCCGGGGAUAACAGGCUGAUACCGCCCAAGAGUUCAUAUCGACGGCGGUGUUUGGCACCUCGAUGUCGGCUCAUCACAUCCUGGGGCUGAAGUCGGUCCCAAGGGUAUGGCUGUUCGCCAUUUAAAGUGGUACGCGAGCUGGGUUUAGAACGUCGUGAGACAGUUCGGUCCCUAUCUGCCGUGGGCGUUGGAAGAUUGAAGGGGGCUGCUCCUAGUACGAGAGGACCGGAGUGGACGAACCUCUGGUGUUCGGGUUGUGUCGCCAGACGCAUUGCCCGGUAGCUAAGUUCGGAAUCGAUAACCGCUGAAAGCAUCUAAGCGGGAAGCGAGCCCUGAGAUGAGUCUUCCCUGAUACUUUAAGUAUCCUAAAGGGUUGUUCGAGACUAGAACGUUGAUAGGCAGGGUGUGUAAGCGUUGUGAGGCGUUGAGCUAACCUGUACUAAUUGCCCGUGAGGCUUAACCAUACAACACCC